rnacentral:lncRNA from 1 species
AUAAAACUUAGAUGGUACAUUGUUGUUGUUGUUUGGUCACUAAGUUGUAUCAGACUCUUUGUGACCCCACGGACCAGAGCACGCCAGGCCCUCCUGUCUUCCACUGCCUCCCGGAGUUGGGUCAACUUCAUGUUGGUCGCUUUGAUGACACUGUCCAGGCGCCUCCUCCUCUGUCGUCCCCUUCUCCUCUUGCCUUCACACUUUCCCAACAUCAGGGUCUUUUCCAGGGACUCUUCUCUUCUCAUGAGAUGGCCAUUCCUUUAGAAUGGAUAGGUUUGUUCUCCUUGCAGUCCAGGGGACUCUCAAGAGCCUCCUCCAGCACCACAAUUCACAACAAGGAUGGUUGAUCUACUGGGGAAUACUGAAAUUUACAGUUUGGCUUAUGCUAAGGAAUAAGAUUUUGGCCACUACGUUUCCUUCAGAAUGUUCUAGAUUCCGAUUCCCUCCUCCCCACUAUAGAUUGAAGGAAAUGUUUCAAUUGGAAAUCGCCAUGUCCCUAUGAGUGACUCUGCAGAGAUGGUCUGUCUUGAGAAAAAUAUUGGCUUGAUAGGCUCAUACACUUCGGUUCGCUUACAGCUCCAUACUUUAAAACCUAAAUCCCACCAGAAUGCUUUGCUUUAUCAUGAUUCCUUUUUUUAAAUCUUCUUAGGCAGGUUUUUCUGCUCAUGAAGGCUGAUUUGAUGCCCUGACUUUAGAACAUCCAUGGUUUCUAGAUCAGUUCGUGUUGAAGAAAAUGGAGGUUACAUUUCAGCACAACACAGGGUUUCCUGGCACCACCAUCAAAGAGGAGCUGGAAGAGAAACCAUGUAACCUGCAUUGGAGAGAACCUGAGAUGUUGCCAGGAACCAGUUCAGGGUUUCCAAGAGUGACAUUCAACCUACAACGAGAAGAGGAGACACGUGCCCUGCAUCGGCAGAAAUUUGAGGCUUUCCCAAAGGCUGGCUCAGGAUUUCCUGACAUGAUCAUAAAACAAGAAGACGAAGAGAGGUCCUACAUCCUGGAUUGCCAGGGAUCUGAGGAAAGUGUAGGUGUUGGUGGAGACCAGUCAGGGCUUCCUGACGUGAUUGUCAAAAUAGAACAAGACGAAGAGCCACACCGUCCAUAUCGGUGGGAAUCUCAGACCUUCCCAGAGAGCAGCUCAGGUGCCGUACGGCCUGCAAAAAGCGCCUUUCCCUGGUUAUUUUGAAUUGUAGAUAUGCAGCAAUCAUUUCUUGUAUGCAUGCAGAAAUUUCCCCUCAUACAGUGGUGCCCCGCUUAACGAUUACCUCAUUAAACAACGAAUCCACUUGACGAUGAGAUUUUUGCAAUUGCAAAACAGUUUUAAUAGGAAAUGUUGCUUUACGAUGAUCAGUUCCCUGCUUCGGGAACUGAUUUUUCGCUUUCCGAUGAUCAGAAAACAGCUGAUCAUCAAGUUUCAAAAUGGCCGUCCACUGUGCAAAAUGGCUCCCUGCUGUUUUCAGGACUUUAUUUUCGCUGUACAGGCACCGGAAAAUGGCCGCCCUAUGGAGGAUCUUCGCUGGACGAUUAGGUAUUUAGCCCAUUGGAACGCAUUAACUGUUUUUUAAUGCGUUUCAGUGGGUUCCUCCCCCCCCGCUUGAUGAUGAUUUCUGUCUUGUUUUUAAUGCGUUUCAGUGGGUUCCCCCCCCCCGCUUGAUGAUGAUUUCUGUCUCUCCAGCAAUUUCGCUGGAACGGAUUAACAUUGUCAAGCGAGGCACCACUGUAUUUUGUCAGUGUUAAUAGUGAAAUGGCUGGCUGGAUAGCUCCGUGGUCUAGGUAUCUGAUUGCAGAGCUACAGGUUGGGAGUCCGAUUCCUCACUGUGCUUCCUGUCGAUAAAGCCAGCCUGUGUGACCUUGGGUAAGCGGCACACUCCCAAGGUGCCCUUGGAAGAAGAAGGGAAUGGCAACCCACUUCUGCCUAUUCUGUACCUGAAAAACCCUAAAAAGGGUCACCGUAAAUCAGAAUUGACUUGACAGCACAUGAUGAAUAGGGGAAUAUUGCUCAUUGUUACCUGUGUUGUCAUUGUCUUAUGAGUGACAGGACCAUCAGUCCACUUCCAUUAUUUUACAUAAAUAUAAACUGAAGAUAAGAUAUAAUGACCAGUAUUCUAUUACCUAGCUUUGCCGGGGACGUGGGAGUGAAGUCACCAACUGUGAUGAAUGCCAGGGUCUUUCCUUUAGCCACUUAGCGACCUUACCUUGGUGCCUCUGGAGUGGGUGAAACAGAGAGGAGUGAGUUUUGUUAAAGAUCAUGAAAGCAACCUGACAUCAACUUUUCCCAGCACAGUUAGUGUCUUGCCUGGCGUGGCUAAGAUUCCAAGAAAACCAGAAUCUAUAAGGCUGGGCACUCAGCACUUCCAAACCCACCUUGCACGGUAGUUCCCCCACACCCACAAAACCAUCUUCCUGGUAGGCAGACAAAGGGCUAAGUUUGAAUUCAGUACCGCAGGCCCUUUAGAGCCAAUAACCAAAUCAGAGAUCCCCCUGGCACCCUCACUGGGUGAUUUUAAGAGCCAAUUAAAGACUUGGCUCUUUAGGCAGGCCUUCCCUCCUGUCAAUACUUGACUCUUACUUUCGCUUAGUCUUUUGUUCUGUCUUUCAUCUUGAUCAAUACUAACAUUGUCAAUUUAAUUUAUGGUUUUAAUUGUUGUAUGGAUAAGUUUAUUGUGAGCCGCCCUGAGUAGACAUAGUCUAGAAGGGCGGGAUAAAAAGCUAAUUAAUUAAACAAACCAACAAACAAACAAACCAAGGCUAUUGAGUGAAGGCUUUAUGUUUUAUUAAAAUAAAAGGUCAAGGCGGUCGGCGGGGGGGACCCA